ACAUUUUACCCACUGGUCACAAGCCACUGUCCAUUUGAAUUGACUUAUUUUUAGGUGUUUUUAAGUCAAAAUAAUUUUUAAUAAGUUUUGAAUUGUUUGGAUAAAUCUAAAAAAGUAUUUAUACACACUUAUUUUAUAGUCAAAAUAACAAAAAUAAGCAAGUGUCAUAAGUUAAAAAUCCUAACUUAUAGCUUUUGGCUUUUAAGUUAUAAGCCCAAAGUCAAUCCAAACGGAUCCUAAACACUUUAAAGUCAUGCAGGCCGAAGCCCAGAGCGGGCUAUAUCAUUUGCGGAUUAGAAUGUCACAAAUGGUAUGUCACUCUUGUUUGCUUUGCAGUGGGGCAAACCUCAGUGUCGUAGUAAGCAUAUCUUAUCCACUAGUGAUACAUUUUAAAGUUGAGUGUGUAUAGGUUCGAAGCGAACAAUAUUACCAGCGGAUUAGGCCGUUACAAUUUUGCUCUUCAAAUGAAUCGUAAUUUAAAUUUUAUUCUUCAAAAAGAAAGGUCUUUAAUCUCUAUCUUCAGAAUUCAAAGUUAUGUAUGAAAGAGAAUAAAUUCUUGAAGGACGCAUUAUUUAAAAAUAUAAUUAUGAUGCAUAAGUUCAGCAACCUAUUCAACUGGUUGGAUUUUUUCCCUUUCAUCCUUUGGAGUUUAUGGAAAAAAAUACAAUCAUAAUAUUUUUAGCAACAAAAACUCAUCCCUAUCACCUGCCCUGGUGAAUAAUAAAAUGAUUGAAUACCGACGUUAUACUUAUCAAGCGCAAGAUCCUCAAUCUUCCUACCUCGUUAGAAUUAGGUGGUCCCUCCCCUCCCCCAGGUUGGGGAAUCCACUGGUCAGGCAGCUUCCGACAAGCAAAUAAGGUGGCAAACUUUUUGUCAAAACUAGGUACCAAGCUAACACCAUCCAAUCAAGCUACUAUAUUACCUGCUCCUCCAGACCAUAUUGUAUCUCUUGUCAAGGAUGAUCAACGAGGGGCGAUAUAUACUAAACUAGUUUUAAGGAUCACUUGUAAUAAUAUGUUAACAUGUUUUGGUAAUGUAAUAGUACUAGCCAACUAUGGCAACAACAUAGAGGCAGAGAUGCCUCAAAACUUGGUAAAUCCCUAGUUUAUAUAAAAUAUGUAUAUAAUCUUGUCAUCCAAAAAAAAUAUUCAU